UACGUAGGGUGCAAGCGUUAUCCGGAAUUACUGGGCGUAAAGAGUACGUAGGUGGUUUGCCAAGUCCGAUGUGAAAUCUCCUGGCUUAACUGGGAGGGUGCGUUAGAUACUGGCAGGCUUGAAUGUGGGAGAGGAGAGCGGAAUUCCUGGUGUAGCGGUGAAAUGCGUAGAUAUCAGGAGGAACGCCUGUGGUGUAGACGGCUCUCUGGACCAUUAUUGACACUGAGGUACGAAAGCGUGGGUAGCAAACAGG
rnacentral:rRNA from 1 species